ACUAAAAUGGCAGAGACAUGCAUAGGACUUAAGCUCCUACUACGAAGACCAUCUUCUUUUAGAA
rnacentral:tRNA from 1 species